rnacentral:rRNA from 1 species
UACGUAGGGUGCGAGCGUUGUCCGGAAUUACUGGGCGUAAAGAGCUCGUAGGUGGUUUGUCGCGUUGUUCGUGAAAACCGGGGGCUUAACCCUCGGCGUGCGGGCGAUACGGGCAGACUUGAGUACUGCAGGGGAGACUGGAAUUCCUGGUGUAGCGGUGAAAUGCGCAGAUAUCAGGAAGAACACCCGUGGCGAAGGCGGCUCUCUGGAACGCAACUGACGCUGAGACGCGAAAGCGUGGGGAGCGAACAGG